GCUCAAAAAUAAUUUCCUUCGUUUUUUAUAACCUCAGUUUACUUUAUUGUAAAGCUAAAUUGAAAAAGAUAAAGUAUGCCAGUGCAUCAACCUCAAAGACGAGUCUGUCUGGAUGACUUUAACCGAUUUGAUGUCUGACUUACUGGUCUUAACUGAGUGCCUGAAUGAUCAUGAAAUGGAAUCACUGGCUAACUCUGAUUGAAUGACUGAAUUAAAGAGUAACCUUGUGACUGACGUAAUGAUAAGGAAGAAAUGCAGCUUUUGUUCUUAUUUUGGAUAAAGCCAAUGCAGAAAAUUUCCUUCCAAAAGACAAAAAACUUGGACAGUCACUCGUGGUUAGGGAAUACAAUGUAAUCCAAGUUAGCGUCCAUCUUUGUUUCCAUGGAGAAGCUACUUUCUGCUCUCUGGAGGAUCUGAAUGGUUAAAACUGGGAGCCACCAUUAAGUAUGAUAACUGGGACGACCUCUGAUAGAGUACCUGUGCUGACUUUAAAAACGAACUACAGUAAAAAUUACUGCAGAUGAUCACAAUUUUUAAACAGAAGAUCAAUGCAGAGGAUUGCAGAUUUCAU